rnacentral:misc_RNA from 1 species
AGCGUCCUCUGUGAGCCAGGAACGGGUCCAGCCAUGAAGCUUACGGCAAUUGCACUGGUGUGUUUGGCAGCGGCGGUGCUUACGCACGCCGAUCCCGAACCACAUAAGUACCACCAAUAUCCCUACUACCAUUACUAUCCACAAUACCACCAUCUCGAGCCACCAG